rnacentral:tRNA from 1 species
GCAGUAGUGGCUUAGAAGUAGAAUUCUUGCCUUUCCUGCAAGAGGCCUGGGUUCGAUUCCUGGCCAGUGCA